CGGCGAGUGAAGCGGCAACAGCUCAAAUUUGAAAUCUGGCUCUUUGGGUCCGAGUUGUAAUUUGUAGAGGAUGCUUCGGCGUUGGACCCGACCUAAGUUCCUUGGAACAGGACGUCACAGAGGGUGAGAAUCCCGUACGUGGCCGGUGUCUCUCGCCAUGUGAAGCUCCUUCGACGAGUCGAGUUGUUUGGGAAUGCAGCUCUAAAUGGGAGGUAAAUUUCUUCUAAAGCUAAAUACUGGCCAGAGACCGAUAGCGCACAAGUAGAGUGAUCGAAAGAUGAAAAGCACUUUGGAAAGAGAGUUAAAAAGUACGUGAAAUUGUUGAAAGGGAAGCGCUUGCAACCAGACCUGCCCGCGGUCGCUCAUCCAGGCUUCUGCCUGGUGCACUCUUCCGUGGUCAGGCCAGCAUCGGUUCGGGCGGUCGGACAAAGACGGCGGGAAUGUGGCUCCUCUCGGGGAGUGUUAUAGCCCGCCGUGUAAUGCGGCCAGUCCGGACCGAGGUCCGCGCUUCGGCUAGGAUGCUGGCGUAAUGGUUGUAAGCGGCCCGUCUUGAAACACGGACCAAGGAGUCUAACAUCUGUGCGAGUGUUUGGGUGUCAAGCCCGGACGCGUAAUGAAAGUGAACGGAGGCGGGAACCUUUGGGUGCACCGUCGACCGAUCCUGAUGUCUUCGGAUGGAUUUGAGUAAGAGCAUAGCUGUUGGGACCCGAAAGAUGGUGAACUAUGCCUGAAUAGGGUGAAGCCAGAGGAAACUCUGGUGGAGGCUCGCAGCGGUUCUGACGUGCAAAUCGAUCGUCAAAU
rnacentral:rRNA from 1 species